rnacentral:rRNA from 1 species
AGUGAACGCUGGCGGUAGGCCUAACACAUGCAAGUCGAACGGCAGCACAGUAAGAGCUUGCUCUUACGGGUGGCGAGUGGCGGACGGGUGAGGAAUACAUCGGAAUCUACUUUUUCGUGGGGGAUAACGUAGGGAAACUUACGCUAAUACCGCAUACGACCUACGGGUGAAAGCAGGGGAUCUUCGGACCUUGCGCGAUUGAAUGAGCCGAUGUCGGAUUAGCUAGUGGGCGGGGUAAAGGCCCACCAAGGCGACGAUCCGUAGCUGGUCUGAGAGGAUGAUCAGCCACACUGGAACUUGGACACGGACCAGACUCCUACGGGAGGCAGCAGUGGGGAAUAUUAGACAAUGGGCGCAAGCCUGAUCCAGCCAUACCGCGUGGGUGAAGAAGGCCUUCGGGUUGUAAAGCCCUUUUGUUGGGAAAGAAAAGCAGCAGGUUAAUACCCCGCUGUUCUGACGGUACCCAAAGAAUAAGCACCGGCUAACUUCGUG